rnacentral:rRNA from 1 species
GACGAACGCUGGCGGCGUGCUUAACACAUGCAAGUCGAACGGAAAGGCCCUGCUUUUGUGGGGUGCUCGAGUGGCGAACGGGUGAGUAACACGUGAGUAACCUGCCCUUGACUUUGGGAUAACUUCAGGAAACUGGGGCUAAUACCGGAUAGGAGCUCCUGCUGCAUGGUGGGGGUUGGAAAGUUUCGGCGGUUGGGGAUGGACUCGCGGCUUAUCAGCUUGUUGGUGGGGUAGUGGCUUACCACGGCUUUGACGGGUAGCCGGCCUGAGAGGGUGACCGGCCCCAGUGGGACUGAGAUACGGCCCAGACUCCUACGGGAGGCAGCAGUGGGGAAUAUGGCACAAUGGGCGGAAGCCUGAUGCAGCAACGCCGCGGGCGGGACGACGGCCUUUGGGUUGUAAACCGCUUUCGCCUGUGACGAAGCGUGAGUGACGGUAAUGGGUAAAGAAGCACCGGCUAACUACGUG